GCAGUUAAACGGCCUCGCUGCAGCUCGAGCGGCAGUCGAAGAGGUGGUCUCGGGUGAGAGUGGGGGGCGGGGGAGACGUGUCUGGGAAAUGCGUGAGGGAGGGGGGUAUCUCUAGGGAACGGGGGCUAAUACCGCGUAUGGUCGCAAGAGCAAAGAGGGGGACCUUCUGGGCUCUUGCCCUCUCAUGUGCCCAGAUGGGAUUAGCUAUUAGGUGGGGUAAUGGGUCACCUAUGCGACAAUCCCUAGCUGGGCUGAGAGGAUGACCAGCCACACUGGAACUGAGACACGGUCCAGACUCCUACGGGAGGCAGCACUGGGGAAUAUUGUGCAAUGGGCGCAAGCCUGAUGCACCCAUGCCCCGUGUAUGAAAAAAGCCUUCUGGUUGUAAAGUACUUUCUCCGAGGAGGAAAGGGCUGAGGUUAAUAACCUUAUGGAUUGUCGUUUCUCGCACAAAAAACACCGGGUAACUCCGUGCCAGCACCCGCGGUAAUACAGAGGGUGCAAGCGUUAAUCUCAAUUACUGGGCGUAAAGCGCACGCACGCGGUCUGUCAAGUCUGAUAUGAAAUCCCCGGGCUCUACCUGGGAACUGCGUUCUAAACUGUGAGGCUAUAGUCUUGUGUAGGGGGGUAGAAUUCCCCGUGUAUCGGUGAGAUGCGUAUAGAUCUGGAGGAAUACCGGUGGCGAAAGCGGCCCCCUGUACAAAGACUGACACUCACGUGCGAAAGCGUGUGGAGCACACAGGAUUAUAUACCCUGUGAGUCCACGCCCUAUACGAUGUCUACUUGUAGGUUGUUCCCUUGAGGAGUGGCUUCCGCAGCUAACACGUUAUGUCUACAGCCUGUGGAGUACAGCCGCAAGGUUAAAACUCUAAUGAAUUGUCGGGGGCCCGCACAAGCGGUGGAGCAUGUGGUUUAUUUCGAUGUACGCGAAGAACAUUACCUACUCUCGACGUCUCGGGAUUUACACAGAUGCUUUUAUGUCUUCCUGGAACCGUGAGACAGUGCUGCUAUGGCUGUCGUCAGCUCUCGUUGUGAAAAGUUGGGUUAAAUCCCCACCAAGCGCAACCUUAUUCCCUCUGUUUGCCGCGGAUCUGACUGGGGAACUACAUAGGGAAGAAAUGACUCGUUGAUAGACUGGCAGGAAGGGGGGGAUGACUGUCAGUCAUCAUGGGCCCUCACGACUAGGUUACAUCUGCUUCAAUGACGUUAUUCAACGAGAGACGAGCCCUACUCUCGGAGAGACCAAGCCGUGA
rnacentral:rRNA from 1 species